rnacentral:lncRNA from 1 species
AGGAGUGAGAAAUGGUGUUUCCCUCUCAUGAAUAAAAACUGUGUAUCUAGAUGUUGCUGACAAAGAGCUGAAGUUACUAAACCAAUGAUAUACUCCCAGGGAAAUAUAGGUGAAAAAGAUACUAUUUUUUUUUCUUCUUUUUCCCUUUCCUAGCUCUUUAUCAGCGUUCAAUUCAACCCAAGGAACCAGGAACCGAGGAGGAAGGAAGUAAUUGACAUUCAAAGCCUCUAUUUUUAGACACCUUUACACUUUCUUUUGCUUCUAACUAGCAAGGAUUUUUCCAAACAAGCUUUUAAUUAGCAGGUCAACUCCAUCUAUAUCCAAAACCUUUCUCAUCUGGCCUGACCUCCCUCAUGAGAGUUGCUGUUCUACUAGCUGACUGAAAUUUGAUGUAUCCUCUCACCUCAACUUCCACAAGUCAAAACACGUCUGUGCUUUCUGGUCACCCACCUACCAAAGCAAUCCUCCAUUUGCUAAUGUGUGCCAAUGGUCGCUUGACUUCAACUUUGAAAGAAUCCUUCAAUGACAGCUGAAGCGAGACAUUUAGCAGCCACUGUCCUUUCUGUAUUCUGUGCCAGGCACAAGGACUCCAUUCCUCUUGAAAGUUUUAUCAUGUACAAGGCUAUUAACAUUAUGAGGAUAGGCUGAAGCAUGAAUAAAUCCUGAGACUUACUGAUGAUGUCAUUAUACUGGUCAAUAAAAUACAUAGAGGGAAGGGCUUCCCAUGCUACCAGGUUCAGUUAACUAAAUCAGGAUACACGAGCAAUUAAG